rnacentral:lncRNA from 1 species
GGGAUGGGUGUGUAGAACGCCCAAGAGAAGAGAAAAGGAGAGGAAGAGAGGGCAUGAGGAGAGCCUUUUGGCAUGAGGGAUUGCUGGUUUGGAUACUCUAGGAAUCUUAGGGGAGGUUCCUUUAAAUAGGCAUGAGGAUUAAAUCCUAUUCAAUCUUAUAAUACAAGUCCUACUUACAUUAGGAUUCCUAUUAACUUAAGUUAUCUAACUUACAUUAAGAAGCCCAUUAGGCGUCAAUAAUUGGAGCCCUUGCAUCCAUAAUUAGACACCCAAAACACACCCAAGAGAGGCUUCCUAAGAGAACUAAAAGCCCUCUAAUCAAUGGACACACCCAACUUGACCAAAUCAAGGUGGCACCCAAAAAUAACUAUCAAAAAAAUUAAUUAGAGACUUGCACUCUUAAUUAAUAUGAUCCAUAACCUUAGACACCCAACAAUUGGAGUCUCAUGAAUCUUAUUCAUGUAGGUUAUUAGUAGGUAAUUAAGUUAGAAUUAUCUUAUCAAAUAAGUAAUCCCAACGAAAAGAGAAAUUAGGUCCAACCAUGUGCUAGCAAGGUGAU